CUCGGGGCUCUGGGCGCGCAAACGCCCGGGCACGAGCCAGAGCCAGCGGCCACCCGCAACCAGGCCCUCCGGAGCAUAGACGCCUGAACUUUCGGGCGGUAAGGCACGUCUUCCUCAGGGCCUGUGGGCCCGCGGGCAGGGCGCCCACUGCCAGGCUGGUGCGCCCAGCCACCGUCCCGAGUCCAGCCAGACGGCAUGCGGUGGACGGAAGUGCCCGGGAGCCCAACCUUGCUGCCGACAGGGAGCGCGUGCCCAGGACAAGGACCGCUCCUCCUGGCCGGUUCCUGCAGGUGCCCGGUGCCCAGGCGGCCCGGCGCUGAUCGCCACUGCCUGCCGGGGCUAGGGCUGCGGGCAGUCCCUCCCCGGGGCCGCCGAGCCAUUCGCGCCUCUCCCGGGGGCCCUCCAGGAGCCUGUCCCCGCCGUCCCCGCCGCUCCAGCCCUAUCUCUCCCGGCAUCUCAGCGAGUUUCCAGUUUCUCCCCACUUAGGGAGGGAACCAAGAAGCAGAAGGAGUUCAGCAUCGCGAGACAGCGUCCUUCUCUGGUCUGUGGUCUUCAAACUUCAGCAUCAGCUGUGAAGACGAGAGCCUCACAAAGACUGGUCAGGAAAAGAGAUAAAUAUGUUGUGGUAUAUUCAUAUGAUGGAAUACAAUACAGCAAUGAAAAUGGGUCGACCACAGCUAUCCCCAUUACCAUGGAUGAAUCUUCCAAACUGCUGAGCAAAAAAAGAAACACAACGUCCAUCCGGUGAGAGCCUGCGCAGAAUGUAAGCGAGGGAGCAGCUCUGCUGGGAUGGGGGCGACGCACUGCAGAGCUUAACAAGAAUGACUCGGGGGUGGCCGGCAGCUUGCAGUGACCUCACUGGUCCUCCUUCCGUUUCAUCAGGCACGAGGAUGCUCCCCAUUGCGACUGUCCUUGACUGUCACCGCCAAUGUCCACUCAAGAAAUGACUGUAACAGAUCAAUAAGCAGCAUAGUUCAUCUUGACCUGA